UACGUAGGGGGCAAGCGUUGUCCGGAUUUAUUGGGCGUAAAGAGCGUGUAGGCGGCCAGGUAGGUCCGUUGUGAAAACUCGAGGCUCAACCUCGAGACGUCGGCGGAAACCAUCUGGCUAGAGUCCGGAAGAGGAGAAUGGAAUUCCCGGUGUAGCGGUGAAAUGCGCAGAUAUCGGGAAGAACACCCGUGGCGAAGGCGGUUCUCUGGGACGGUACUGACGCUGAGACGCGAAAGCGUGGGGAGCGAACAGG
rnacentral:rRNA from 1 species